UGGACUUUGGUUUUGUUGUUGUGUUUGCGUGCGCAUAAUUAUGCAGAUACCAUUAGGAGCACCAGAGGACACCGGAGGCACAUGAUCUUUUUCAGAUUACCUGUCUGACGCACUGCUGUCAGGAUAUAAUGAUUUGUAAACUGCGAUAAACAAGUCGGGACUAAAGAUGGAAACACCACAAAUCUAGAGAUGGAAAGAGAGAAACAGAUAAAUAAAAGACAAGAGAGCUU